rnacentral:piRNA from 1 species
UAGUCAUGUUCUAUGAUGAAAUUUACAUGC